CUGAGCGCCGCUCUUGUCUCUCCACCGCUCCUCUCAUCUCUCUACCUUAUCAUUUGGAGUGCAGGGCACUGCGGGGCGCGCGGGUCGCCGCUGCGGGGCGCUGCUGCGGGCGGCCGCCGGCGGGGUGCUGCUGCGGGGCGUGCCGGCCGCCACUGCGGGGCGCGCUGGCCGCCGCUGGCAGCCACUGCGGGGCGAUGCUGCGGGCCGCCGCCGCGGGGCGCUGCUGCAGGGCGCGCGGCCGAGCGCCGUGCCCUGGGAGCACGUCUCCCGCAGGUUCUUCACGGAGCAAGGGCACCCGUGGAUUGUGUCCCGUGGGAGAACUUCGGCGGUGGCCUGCUGAUUUAGAAUCACAGAUUCUCCGUUUCAUCUAUCUGCAAUGUAGAUAGUGGCGUUCAUCCAAGAGUAGAGCAACCUUUUGCAGUUGACUUUUGCUCUCUGUAACCCAUCUCUUGUUUGCGUUCAUCUCUUGUUUGCUCUCUGUAACCCAUGAACAGUCUUCUUUCUGCUGAAGAAGAGAGAACUAGACUUGUUCUGGAGAAAAUGGACCCAAAAAAAUGGAAAAAAAUUAUGUACAGUUCAGUCGUGUGUUUCAUCCA